AAAGAUGGCGGCGGAGGAGCAGGAGGCAUUGAGGGAGUUCAUGGCGGUGACGGACACUGAGGAGGAAAGGGCUCGUUUCGUCCUGGAGACGGCUGGCUGGGACCUGCAGAAGCUGACUGCAGAGGUGAACAACCCUGGUGUGAUGUCCUCAGUGAGUGAAGAUACUCCAUUCCAGAGGAGGUCACAUCUGGGAGGCCGCCAUCCAAAAGAAAGCCACUCUGUUGGUGUAGGAAGUGACAGCUGCAUUCUCCUGUGCCUACUGCAUAACCAAAAAUGAAGGAGAACUACUGUUUACAAGCUGCCCUGCUUCAUUCUGACAUUGACGCCGGUGAUGGAAACAUUAAAUACAUUCUCUCAGGAGAAGGAGCGGGAACCAUUUUUGUGAUUGAUGACAAAUCAGGGAACAUUCAUGCCACCAAGACAUUGGACAGAGAGGAGAGAGCCCAGUACACACUGAUGGCUCAGGCAGUGGACAGGGACACCAACAAACCACUGGGGCCACCUUCAGAAUUCAUUGAUAAGGACCAGGACAUUAAUGACAACCCUCCAGAGUUUCUGCAUGAAAUCUAUCAUACCAAUGUGCCUGAGAGGUCCAAUGUGGGUAGGAACAUCAGUUAUCCAAGUGACAGCCUCUGAUGCAGAUAAUCCCACCUAUGGAAAAAGUGCCAAGUUAGUGUAUAGCAUCCUUGAAGGACAACCCUACUUCUCAGUGGAGGCCCAAACAGGAAUCAUCAGGACAGCCCUUCCCAAUAUGGACAGAGAAGCCAAGGAGGAGUACCACGUGGUGAUCCAGGCUAAGGACAUGGGUGGACACAUGGGUGGACUCUCAGGGACAACCAGAGUGACGAUCACUCUGACUGAUGUCAACGACAACUCAGCAAAGUUUCCAAAGAGUAAAGAGUCGAAGCUGGUCUUUGAUAAUGACCACUGCUCAGCGAGAGCCUCAUCUUUUCUUUCACUCCUAAUUUACCCAGCUUUCAAAAGGAAGAGUCUGGAAAUCCAAGAAUCAUUUUCGUGAUUCUUGCAAAAAACUAGAACAAGAUAGCAAAGACUUAAAAACACACCGAGGAAAGUUAAACAGUAUAGAGAUCAUGAGAAGUAAGGAAGUCAUUAAAACUGUGUAACUCUGGAGACCAGAAUAUCUGAGUCUUGAGAUAUUUUACUUAUUAGGUAUUAAUCAUAAAAGGCAGUCAUCAAUUAACGUUCCUCUGUCUCAGUGUUCUUCACUGAUGCUAACAGAACCGUGAUCUGAUGCUUAUCAUUCCAUAAAAAAUCUCCCCCACAUCUUGAUGAUUGUAAGUAACAAUCACUUAUUAGUUUCUUGACUUUAUUUUGUACAGAGCAUAGGAGAAAUAUCUACUCUGUUGUCACUCCAGCAUCAGCAGGGCAGUUCUCCUGUGGCAGAAAAACCCACUUCUAAGAUUCCUUAUAAGCCUGGCAAAUUGAGAUUAGCUUGUGCUUCCUCUCCACAUGGGCCUUUCUGUGGCUGAGUUCUGAUCAUGAGAACUCCGUGACCAUUUUUUGAGCUGAUACCAGAAGCCAUGGGACUUCUUUCCCUGUAGCCUUAAGGCUGCCAGCAUAGCAGUAAAGCUCAGCCAGACCUCACAGUUCUAUGAGAGGACCAUAAAGUAACAUUGGAGGGGCCUGUGGGAUACGAGCUAUACUAGUAUCCUUGUAGAAGAUGAUACCCUAGCAUUUAACCUAAAUACAAUCUUUAUUCAGAUUAAUCCAGCUAGUGCUAAUUUUUAUAUCAUUUGAAAAAAAAAACCGGCAAUAAUUGUUCAGCCAUUGUUAUUUUGAAUACUGUACAAUAUUUAUGAAGUUACUGAGGGAAAAUAUUAUUUGGCAGUUGAGGGUAUAUAAUUCUUUUGCAGAAAUCCAUGGUUAGGUUCUUAGCAACAAUAUUAUUGGCUCUGAACAGCUGAAAUUCGGGCCAGGAGGACCUGUAGCCUUCUUAUGGUCUCCGUUGUAUCUGCAUUCCUAGUCACAGAGCCACAUAGACACAGGCAUAUGCAUACCUAAAAGUAAGAUACAUCAUUAAAAUGUUUAGGUUUACUAUUUUAAUUAUGUGUUUAUGAGUGUGUCUAUAUGUGGUUGUUUCCUAUCUGUAGGGACCCACAGAGGCCAGGACUGUCAGAUUUCCCUGCAGCUGUAAUUAUGUGUGACUGUGAGCUGACUUGGGUGGGAAUAACCAAACUCUGGUCAGCAGGAAGAGAAACAUACGGUCUUAGUUCUGAGCCAUCACUCUAGCACCAAACAAAACAACUCUUUGGAGACAGUGGUAUUGAAAUAUUGAAAUUAAUGAUAGCUGCUAAUUUUAAUAUCUGGUCACUAAUGUUAUAAAUAUCUAAAAAGAGCCUAUGUUUUAUAGAUAUAAUUGGCUCCUAGGGAAAGGACAUUGAGGGGACUAAGGAAUUUCUGGAAUCAUAUUUUAGUGUGUAUGUGCAAAGGGCAGUCCAGAGUUAUAACACAAAAAUAAUGACUCUGAGCUUUCCAGUAAUGACAAAAACACCCAUGGCUCCAGUUACAGAGAGUCUGACACACUUUCUGGUCUCUGCAGACACCCACAUACACAUAGUGUACACUCAAAGACAGACAGACAGACAGACAGACAGACAGACACAUAGCGUACACUCAAAGACAGACAGACAGACAGACAGACAGACACACACACACACACACACACACAAUAUAAAAAAUAAUAAACCCAAAGGAAGUCAGUUAAGUAUACCAAUUAAGGAGGCACUAUGGUUAUUCAAAGUUACCCAAGAUAACAAUCUACCAAAUGAAGAUAUCAUGGUAGAGGAUCCUGAGACACAUAUUAGUUCUUGAGGACUCCAAAAGAGAUGGGUCAACCAUGCUAUUCCUUGUCAGAUGGAAAGGUAUGCAUCUUUGAUAAUAUUGAGGCACAUACAACAUAGUCAAAGCUGCCUAUUCCAUUUGCACAAUGUACAAUUGUUCCAUAUGCCAGAAAAGUAGGUAGACAGACUUAUUCAUGGAUGUCCACUAAUGCCCUUUUUUAUAUAGAGUGGUAUAGAAAUUUUAUAUUUCAGUUUUAAUAUUUCACAGUCAUGGGCUUGAAUGAGAUUUGGAGAAAAUUACAUUGCAACAGAUCUUCUGAACAUUGUUAUACAUUGUUCAUUUCUACAGAAAGUCACACUCCCUGUGCCUUGCCUGUGAAUACAAUACAAGAUUAGGUAGAAAAUGGGUACAGUAUAAUCACGAAAAGAAUGCAGCACUGCAGCAUAUAAUAGCUGCAGUAGAGGAAAGGAAGAGUCUAGGGGAGUCCCCUAAUGCCAGUGGGCUGAGCACUGCAGGAGAGGGUUCCUCCGCCCACGCAUAGUGUGUCUUAGACAGGUUGCUUUUCAAAUGUGUCAAAUGAUGGUGCUACAGCUCAUUCCUUUACUGAAAACUGUCUAGUGCUUUCCCUAAAUGGAACUCAACAUCUUGACUAUUUUCAGCAAUGCCGUUUACAUGCCUCCGUCCUACUGUUAUUCUCCCGUAACAGAAGUCCCACUGUACAUUUUCAGAAUCUUCAGAAUUUGCAGCCUCACCUGAGGCUUUCUGACAUUUGUUGUUCCUUGUUCUGUGACACUUAUUGCCCACAUAUUCAUACACUUGUCUUGCUCAUUUUCUUCACUGGAGUUCAGAUUUCUUCCAACGAAAGUUUUCUGUCUCUACCUUGUCCAAAAUAAAUCCCGAUUUCCUUCUCAUCUACACAUACUUAACCAUGAUAGGUGUCCACUCACAUACAUUGUCAUAGAAAAACAUAUCAUACCCCACUCGUAUAGAGCAUAAAACAUAUCACACUAACUCGUAUAGAGCAUAAUCACAUACAUAACUACACACUCAUUUGUGUAGCUUAAACGCUUACACACACACACACCCUACUUCCCUUUAUCCCUUACCAUACAAUACUACUUAGCCUAUAACAUCAUAGUGUAUCUAGAUAUGUUUUGUUUUCUCUUUUUUUUAAAUGUCAUGUUGAGAAUGAUAACUCUUCCUUUACUUAGCUUCAGAGCUAAAAGAGUAAUAUAUCAUCAUUUGCAUUCAUGAGAAAUAAAUACUGUAAACAUAAAUAUAAAUAGGUGUGGCACCAUUCUUUAUUUCUGAAAAAUAUAAACAUAAAGGGAGUUGACUGUCUAAAAGCUUCCAGAGCAUUCCAUGCUUUACCUAGUACAAAGGAUGAAGAGUAAGAUGAGAGAAAUAUCUCUUUGCUCAAGAAAGAUUCUUGAAAGAUUUGUAUUUGUCUCUAAAAUAAAUAUGAAGUGAUGAAACCUUUUUAAGCAGGGGGUAAAUUUACUCUUCUGUGGCUGCUUUUCUUUGAGCAAUUAGUUCAAGGAAUCUUUGGCAUUAGUUUGUGGGACACCCUGAAAAGGAAGCCUCAGGUGUUCCAGUAUGUGGACUCUUGCAUAGGACCUUGUCACUGUUUUCCUUUCUCUCGUGUUGUGGGUGACCUCAUCAUCUUACCAGGACCCCAAUGUUGUUUUGUCAUGCUGGAAGGAACACAUUGCUCCUGCAUGCUGGCCAUCUGGGAUCCUCUUCCCAUCCAUCCACUUCACUUCUGCGUCUACCAAUAAAAAGUUCAAUUUUAAACCCUUUGAGAAAUUUGCUGGGAUUCAAUGAAAUCUGAAGUCUUACAGCUGCCAAAUAAAAAGU